GAUGAACGCUAGCGGCAGGCCUAAUACAUGCAAGUCGAGGGAGAAUGUUGGAUUCGUCUGACAUGAAACCGGCGCACGGGUGCGUAACACGUAUGCAACCUACCUUUAACUGGGGUAUAGCUCAGAGAAAUCUGAAUUAAUCCCCCAUAAGACUACGACAUGGCAUCAUGAUAUAGUUAAAGCUCCGGCGGUUAAGGAUGGGCAUGCGGUACAUUAGCUAGUUGGUGAGGUAAUGGCUCACCAAGGCUACGAUGUAUAGGAGGUCUGAGAGGAUGGUCCCCCACACUGGUACUUAGACACGGACCAGACUCCUACGGGAGGCAGCAGUAGGGAAUAUUGGUCAAUGGACGCAAGUCUGAACCAGCCAUGCCGCGUGAAGGAUGAAGGCCCUAUGGGUCGUAAACUUCUUUUAUUAGGGAAGAAAAAACGGGAUGCGUCCUGUACUGACGGUACUUAAUGAAUAAGGAUCGGCUAACUUCGUGCCAGCAGCCGCUGUAA
rnacentral:rRNA from 1 species